rnacentral:rRNA from 1 species
AUGCCUCAGUAACGGCGAGUGAAGCGGCAAAAGCUCAAAUUUGGAACCGCUUUAUGCGGGUUGUAAUUUGAAGGCGUUUACUGGGACGGGGCGCUGCCUAUGUUCCUUGGAACAGGACGUCACAGAGGGUGAGAAUCCCGUGUGGCGGCGACCCUUGUGCCGUGAAGUGAGCGCCGACGAGUCGAGUUGUUUGGGAAUGCAGCUCUAAGUGGGUGGUAAAUUCCAUCUAAAGCUAAAUACUGGCGAGAGACCGAUAGCGAA